AGGGGUGUAGUUCAGUCUGGUAGAACGACGGUCUCCAAAACCGUAUGCCGUGGGUUCAAAUCCUGCCACCCCUG
rnacentral:tRNA from 2 species